GGUGGGUUGCUGGGAGAAACCAAGGUGAGAGCUGGCAGCCAGGAAGGCAGCGUAAGCCUUGGGUGGGAAGAAAAGAGGCAUGCCAUGAGCAGUCAGUAUGGACAGACCGCAGGCUGGCUGGCUGCCUGCUGCCUUGGAAAGUCACGGGCUGUGCACCUGCAAGGUACUGGUAAGGGAUCUAUGGAUCUAUAGCAGUAUCACGUCAUACUUAAUUUCCCAGUAUCUUUACUUUUUGGAAAAUAUAAUUAGAAUAUAUUAUUGUAUCUCCAAGCAUACACAGGGCUUAUCUUUGAAAUGUUCCUUUGCUGUCAGAAGAACAGGCUCAGAAUGGGGAGAAGGAUUCACUGAUACUGCCAGUAUUUCUGACAUUUGCGACUGAAAUGAGGGAAACUGAAACACAGAGAGGUGAGAUGACCUGUCUUAACAUUGAGAGCAGCUCAGCAACAGAAGCGGGAACAGAUCCUGCAUCUCCAGACUGGCCUGUCCAACACUUGAUUUGCUUCUUUCAAAGUGGAAAUUUGCAUCAUUUACUGGUGUACCCCUGAAUUGUUCACACAGCAUGUGAUUAUUUGUUCAUUAAUGGGCUAAAAUUACUGCAGGUAUUUAUUAUUUAAAAGUUAAUAAAACUCUUUAACCGUUUUGUGCAAA